GACGAACCGUGCGAACGUUAUUCGGAAUCACUGGGCUUAAAGCGCGUGUAGGCGGGACGGCACGUCGGUCGUUGAAAUCCCCCCAGCUCAACCGGGGAACGGGCGCCGAUACGACCGUCCUGGAGGGACGUAGGGGGACCUGGAACUUCCGGUGGAGCGGUGAAAUGCGUUGAGAUCGGAAGGAACGCCCGUGGCGAAAGCGAGGUCCUGGACGUUUUCUGACGCUGAGACGCGAAAGCCAGGGGAGCGAACGGG
rnacentral:rRNA from 1 species